ACACCGUUGGUGAAACGGUAUCAUGCGUCGUUGCCACUUUCGUAAAUUCGACGCGGCAAGGGUUCGACUCCCUUACGGUGUA
rfam:Naematelia encephala strain 68-887.2 BCR39scaffold_64, whole genome shotgun sequence.